rnacentral:rRNA from 1 species
GAAAGCGUGGGUAGCGANCAGGAUUAGAUACCCUGGUAGUCCACGCCGUAAACGAUGAGUGCUAGGUGUUAGGCCCUUUCCGGGGCUUAGUGCCGGAGCUAACGCAAUAAGCACUCCGCCUGGGGAGUACGACCGCAAGGUUGAAACUCAAAGGAAUUGACGGGGGCCCGCACAAGCGGUGGAGCAUGUGGUUUAAUUCGAAGCAACGCGAAGAACCUUACCAGGUCUUGACAUCCCGAUGCUAUUCUUAGAGAUAGGAAGUUACUUCGGUACAUCGGAGACAGGUGGUGCAUGGUUGUCGUCAGCUCGUGUCGUGAGAUGUUGGGUUAAGUCNNGCAACGAGCGCAACCCUUAUUGUUAGUUGCCAUCAUUAAGUUGGGCACUCUAGCGAGACUGCCGGUAAUAAACCGGAGGAAGGUGGGGAUGACGUCAAAUCAUCAUGCCCCUUAUGACCUGGGCUACACACGUGCUACAAUGGUCGGUACAACGAGUUGCGAGCCGGUGACGGCAAGCUAAUCUCUGAAAGCCGAUCUCAGUUCGGAUUGGAGGCUGCAACUCGCCUCCAUGAAGUCGGAAUCGCUAGUAAUCGCGGAUCAGCACGCCGCGGUGAAUACGUUCCCGGGCCUUG